rnacentral:rRNA from 1 species
GCUGGGUGGAUUAGUGGCGAACGGGUGAGUAACACGUGAGUAACCUGCCCUUAACUCUGGGAUAAGCCUGGGAAACUGGGUCUAAUACCGGAUAGGAGCGCCUACCGCAUGGUGGGUGUUGGAAAGAUUUAUCGGUUUUGGAUGGACUCGCGGCCUAUCAGCUUGUUGGUGAGGUAAUGGCUCACCAAGGCGACGACGGGUAGCCGGCCUGAGAGGGUGACCGGCCACACUGGGACUGAGACACGGCCCAGACUCCUACGGGAGGCAGCAGUGGGGAAUAUUGCACAAUGGGCGCAAGCCUGAUGCAGCGACGCCGCGUGAGGGAUGACGGCCUUCGGGUUGUAAACCUCUUUCAGUAGGGAAGAAGCGAAAGUGACGGUACCUGCAGAAGAAGCACCGGCUAACUACGUGCCAGCAGCCGCGGUAAUACGUAGGGUGCGAGCGUUAUCCGGAAUUAUUGGGCGUAAAGAGCUCGUAGGCGGUUUGUCGCGUCUGUCGUGAAAGUCCGGGGCUUAACCCCGGAUCUGCGGUGGGUACGGGCAGACUAGAGUGCAGUAGGGGAGACUGGAAUUCCUGGUGUAGCGGUGGAAUGCGCAGAU